rnacentral:rRNA from 1 species
UACGGGAUAAUAUAUUUGAGAGGCAUCUCUUAAAUAUCAAAGGUGAGCCAGUACAGGAUGGACCCGCGUCUGAUUAGCUAGUUGGUAAGGUAACGGCUUACCAAGGCGACGAUCAGUAGCCGACCUGCGAGGGUGAUCGGCCACAUUGGAACUGAGACACGGUCCAAACUCCUACGGGAGGCAGCAGUGGGGAAUAUUGCACAAUGGGCGAAAGCCUGAUGCAGCAACGCCGCGUGAGUGAUGAAGGCCUUCGGG